AAAAGAAGUCUGAAAAUGCAACUCCACGCCAGUUUCGUCAUUUGGAUUUCAUUGCACAGCUCACUGCAGUUGUGCGUCAUAUAUCUGGCAAAGACAAUGUUGUGGCAGAUGCACUGUCUAGAAUUGGUGAGAUAACUGCAAUCAAUUAUCAACACAUUGCGCAAGCUCAGAAGGCAGAUGAUGAAUUGCAGUCGCUAUUACAAUAUCCAAAAUGACUUCAGUUAAAACUUAUCAAAAUUCCCGGAUCGGAAAUAGAGAUAUUCUGUGAUGUGUCAACUCAACGUGUAAGAUCUUACAUACCAGUGGAAUUUAGAAGAAACAUUUUUGAAAAUCUGCAUAAUUUGUCGCAUCCAGGUACUAAAGCAACUCAGCGCUUGUUGACCCAAUGGUUCACUUGGCCCUCUAUUAAUAAGGACUGUAAUCAAUGGGUAGUUUUGUUUAAAAUGCCAAGCAACAAAAAUUAAUCGACAUACCAAGUCGCCUCAUGGUAAUUUUACAGCGAUCUUCCAACGUACAUUUGGAUAUAGUUGGAUCUUUACCUCCUUCUGAGGGCAAAAUAUAUGUUUUUACUAUGGUAGAUCGUUUCACUCGUUGGAUGGAAGGGAAUUAGAAGACGGCACGCAUGUGUGGGUGAGAUCCGAACUUAAAAAGAGAUUAGAUUUUAAAUAUUCAGGACCUUUCAAAGUUGUCGAGCGAAACUCUUAAGUAUUUUAGAAUUCCAUUUCGUCAAAAAGACACAAUCUCCAUCGAUAGAUUAAAACCAAGGCAUAACAAGGUAGAAGUGAUUUCGACAUUUCUCUCUUUUGAACUGCGACUGAAAUGUCAACUCUUAACCCUGUACAAUUAAAAAUUCGAAUUUUUUAGUUUAAAUUUUCAACUGUGAGCUGUGCUACUGAUUUAAAAUACACAAUAAAAAUGAAUAGGAUUUACGAGCGGUGUUCUGUGUGUGCCAGACAACAAACUUUAUUGUCAAGUGAAGCGAAAAAGGUGGGCGAAUAGCUGCUGUUUAGGUCCGCGACCUAAAUAUAUUGCACCACCCUAAUCCGCGUUUUGUCACUUGAUGUAAGGGCACACAAACACAUACAUAAGUUACGGCUAUCUUUCCAGCCGCUAACAACAAGCCCCACUGUACGGUAACUUAUUGGAGGGGAAACUUAACGAAAGUUACUGUGCGGUGGGCUACAUCCCUUUUCGUUUGUUGGCACUUUUUCACUUCUU